AUCACAUGACCCCCUCGCUGGAUCAAUUUUAUGAUGCUCAACCUUAUUCAGGUAUGAGAUCUAUUAUUAUUGGGGAUGGAAAAUCACUUAGAGUUACACAUGUAGGUACUGUUAGAAUUAAAACAGACUAUGGGAUAAUCAAUUUAAAAAAUGUACUUUAUGUUCCUUUUAUGAAAAAGAACUUAAUUUCCAUUCAAUGCUUAUGUCGUGAUCUUAAUUGUAAUUUUAUUAUGAAUGAAUGUUGUUUUUUGGCAUUGGACAAGGUGACCGGAAAGAAGUUACUGAAUGGCAAUAAUGCUUGUGGAUUAUAUCAUUUACAAUCUGGAUUAAGAAAUGGGUCGACAGCAAUGGCUUCUGGUUUAGUAGAAACUUGUAGCAUUAUCAAGAGGAAUAAAAGUAGUAUUUGGCAUGAUAGAUUGUGUCAUUCCAGCAAUAGUAUUAUAUCUAGUCUAG
rnacentral:lncRNA from 1 species